UCCCGACCAGCCCAGCACAUUUUGACGAACAGCCCCCCGCGCUCCACUCGAAGCAUUUCGCAGGAAACACCCUAUUCUAUGGACUAUAUGCGCAAAAGCCCUGCCGUGUCUUCUUCUCCACACCUCUCCCUGGUUCUGUUCUGUUGGCUUGUUCGCCCCCAAAACUCAAACCAUGUCGAGCUAGGGUUUUACAUGAGGCAACAGCUCCGCAGCAGCUCCAAUCCUCCACUCGAAAUACCCUUCUGUUGAAGAUUGUGGGUCAGCACGGGGACGACGGGUGGCCGGAGGGACUUGGGACAGCAACGGUGGCGACUCCGGCGGCGGCGGCGACUCCGGCGGCGGCUUCAGUGCCACUAAGCUCACGAUUGAUGCCUCCCCAAUAUUGAUUUGCUACCAGGUUUGCUUCACGAGUGGCUUCAUCAUCCUAGGUCCCUUAAUGUGCACCCAACAUUCUCAAAACCUCCAAGGCCAACACGAAGGAAACGAUAUGCAUCUGAAGUGCCAAUACUAGCCCUAUGAAAAUUGAACAAUGUAAUCUUGACCUUCUCGCCAACUUCUUUAUUUGAUCUUAUGAGAUGCUGCUUAUUAGGUGAGACAAGCGCAUGUGUAUGCUCUUCCACAAAAGUGGUUAUGAUGUAUUUAUUUUCCUUUGUC